rnacentral:snRNA from 1 species
AUCGUUUCCCGGUCUUUGGAUAAGAUAAAAGUAAAGUAUAUGUUUUUACCAGCUUAAUAUCUGAUCAUGUGUCCUCUUCGAUAUGAAUCUUAUUUCUGUUAGGGAAGAGAUGUUGCAAUACUUGCGUUGGACCUGUUGCUGGUCGGCCUGAUAUUGCAGUACAUCCUGGAUUGGCCCACUAACA